UCCCUAUUGGCUCAGAUGGUAAAGAAUCUGCCUGCAAUGCAGGAGACCCAGGUUUGAUCCCUGGGUCGGGAA
rnacentral:tRNA from 1 species